rnacentral:rRNA from 1 species
AUGAACGCUGGCGGCGUGCCUAAUACAUGCAAGUCGAGCGAACAGAUGAGGAGCUUGCUCCUCUGACGUUAGCGGCGGACGGGGGAGUAACACGUGGAUAACCUACCUAUAAGACUGGGAUAACUUCGGGAAACCGGAGCUAAUACCGGAUAAUAUAUUGAACCGCAUGGUUCAAUAGUGAAAGACGGUUUUGCUGGCACUUAUAGAUGGAUCCGCGCCGCAUUAGCUAGUUGGUAAGGUAACGGCUUACCAAGGCAACGAUGCGUAGCCGACCUGAGAGGGUGAUCGGCCACACUGGAACUGAGACACGGUCCAGACUCCUACGGGAGGCAGCAGUAGGGAAUCUUCCGCAAUGGGCGAAAGCCUGACGGAGCAACGCCGCGUGAGUGAUGAAGGUCUUCGGAUCGUAAAACUCUGUUAUUAGGGAAGAACAAAUGUGUAAGUAACUAUGCACGUCUUGACGGUACCUAAUCAGAAAGCCACGGCUAACUACGUG